GCAGUCGCACGAAGGUUUCGGCCUUAGUGGCGGACGGGUGAGUAACGCGUAGGAAUCUAUCCGUGGGUGGGGGAUAACUCUGGGAAACUGGAGCUAAUACCGCAUGAUACCUGAGGGUCAAAGGCGCAAGUCGCCUGCGGAGGAGCCUGCGUUUGAUUAGCUUGUUGGUGGGGUAAUGGCCUACCAAGGCGAUGAUCAAUAGCUGGUCGGAGAGGGUGAUCAGCCACACUGGGACUGAGACACGGCCCAGACUCCUACGGGAGGCAGCAGUGGGGAAUAUUGGACAAUGGGGGCAACCCUGAUCCAGCAAUGCCGCGUGUGUGAAGAAGGUUUUCGGAUUGUAAAGCACUUUCGGCGGGGACGAUGAUGACGGUACCCGCAGAAGAAGCCCCGGCUAACUUCGUGCCAGCAGCCGCGGUAAUACGA
rnacentral:rRNA from 1 species